rnacentral:rRNA from 1 species
CCUGGUGACAAUCGCGAGGGGGUCCCACCCGUUCCCAUUCCGAACACGGAAGUUAAGCCCCUCAGCGCCGAUGGUACUGCAGUUCGCUGUGGGAGAGUAGGUCGUCGCCAGGC